GCUGCGUGAGACGAGCAGAGACUUCGGGGAAAGACGGCGGAACGGAACGAGGCUAACUCUGCGAGGUCGAAACAGGGGAGCGGGAAAGGGGGGAGUACAUGAAAGCCUAAGUGCAGAGAAGUGAAGGGGUGGCGGAGUGAAAGAGUGAGGCUGCGAAAGGGGAGACGAGCAGCCAGGAGGAGUGUUGCGGUGCCAUAAAAUGCCAGCUGUAUGCCACUGCAGUCUCUCCCCUCUCAUCACCGCACUGUGUCUUUACGAGCCGCGGGGUCGAUCACGACAGCAACAUUUACUGCCCACUUGUGGACAGUCAGUUUAGUGAACUCGUGAGGCAGCAGCCGACGGCCCUUUCGCAGCCGCGCGGAGGCUUAAACGUCGCUCGACGUACACAAUCCAUCACGAGAGAAGAGUUGGCCGUCUUCAUUUUUGCUGUCAUAGCAGUUGGUGGUAAACAGAUUGGACAGGGAUGGCGUGACAUUUUAGAAGUAAGAAUCAGAAACCUUGAAAG